rnacentral:rRNA from 1 species
GAAAGCGGUGCUAAUACCGGAUAAGACCACAGCCGUUUCGGCGGCAGAGGUAAAAGCUGACCUCUCCAUGGAAGUUAGCGUUCGAGGACGGGCCCGCGUCCUAUCAGCUUGUUGGUGGGGUAAAAGCCUACCAAGGCAGCGACGGGUAGCUGGUCUGAGAGGAUGAUCAGCCACACUGGAACUGGAACACGGUCCAGACUCCUACGGGAGGCAGCAGUGAGGAAUUUUGCGCAAUGGGGGAAACCCUGACGCAGCAACGCCGCGUGGGUGAAGAAGGCUUUCGGGUNGUAAAGCCCUGUCAGGUGGGAAGAACCGUUUCGAUACUAAUAAUGUCGAAGCCUGACGGUACCACCAGAGGAAGCACCGGCCAACUCCGUGCCAGCAGCCGCGGUAAUACGGAGGGUGCAAGCGUUGUUCGGAAUUAUUGGGCGUAAAGAGCGUGUAGGCGGUUCGGUAAGUCAGAUGUGAAAGCCCUGGGCUCAACCCAGGAAGUGCAUUUUGAAACUACCAGACUUGAGUACGGGAGAGGA